rnacentral:rRNA from 1 species
UGGGGAAUAUUGCACAAUGGGCGCAAGCCUGAUGCAGCCAUGCCGCGUGUAUGAAGAAGGCCUUCGGGUUGUAAAGUACUUUCAGCGGGGAGGAAGGUGUUGAGGUUAAUAACCUCAGCAAUUGACGUUACCCGCAGAAGAAGCACCGGCUAACUCCGUGCCAGCAGCCGCGGUAAUACGGAGGGUGCAAGCGUUAAUCGGAAUUACUGGGCGUAAAGCGCACGCAGGCGGUCUGUCAAGUCGGAUGUGAAAUCCCCGGGCUCAACCUGGGAACUGCAUGCGAAACUGGCAGGCUAGAGUCUUGUAGAGGGGGGUAGAAUUCCAGGUGUAGCGGUGAAAUGCGUAGAGAUCUGGAGGAAUACCGGUGGCGAAGGCGGCCCCCUGGACAAAGACUGACGCUCAGGUGCGAAAGCGUGGGGAGCAAACA